UGCCAGACAACUAGGUGGUCGA
rnacentral:siRNA from 1 species